UUAAAUUGAAGAGUUUGAUCAUGGCUCAGAUUGAACGCUGGCGGCAGGCCUAACACAUGCAAGUCGAACGGUAACAGGAAGCAGCUUGCUGCUUCGCUGACGAGUGGCGGACGGGUGAGUAAUGUCUGGGAAACUGCCUGAUGGAGGGGGAUAACUACUGGAAACGGUAGCUAAUACCGCAUAACGUCGCAAGACCAAAGAGGGGGACCUUCGGGCCUC
rnacentral:rRNA from 1 species